GCAGGAAGACUUUCAAAAAUAUUUAAUGAUUUAUUUGGUUUUGCUGGGUCUUCAUUGCAGCAUGUGAAAUCUAAUUCCCUGACAAAAGAUUGAACCCCAGCCCCCUGCACUGGGAGUGUGAAUCCUAGCCAUUGGACCAUCAGGGAAGUACCAGGAUUCAGGAAGAUUUUUAAAAGAAGGUGGAAAGGAGCACCCAUGCUAUGGAACCAGAGGCCUCUGGGAUCAUCAGCAGCUCAUUCAAGUGGCAGUUCAGGUAUAGCCAAGGGCCACAUGAAGAAUCACAUGUCACCAGCAAGAACCUGAAGAAAAACAGAAAAUUAAGUCCUGCUGCCCUAACACCUACUCCCUGGUUUGACAUCCAGGGUAAGUCUGCUAAACAGAGCAUAUGUGUGUGCAGUUCCGUCAUGUCUGACUCUUUGUGACCUCAUGGACUGUAGCCCACCAGGCUCCUCUGUCUAUAGGAUUUUCCAGACAAGAAUACUGGAGCGGGUUGCCAUUUCCUUCUCCAGGGGAUCUUCCCAACCCAGGGGCUGAACUCACAACUCUUGCAUCUCUGGCAUUGGUAGGCAGGUUCUUUACCACUGGUGCCACCUGGGAAACCGAAAACCAAGUAAUUUGCCCCUAAAUGUCUCUAGUGACUUAUCAUGGCUCUUUUUGUCUGACGUGUAACAGUAGCCUCAGUGAAAUGACAACAACAAAAAUUCUAUUCAGGACCUUGCCAUGGAAAUGCUCAUGGGUUGGAGUGGAGAGGUACAGAAUGGUCUGCUGUGAUGUACGAAAUCCUUGGUUUUGGGGGCGUUAAGAGAGUCAAACCCUGAUGCUGGAGAAGUUGAUGGGCAGCACAGAACAGGAGGAAGGUUCUAUCGGAGAAGAGAAGGUGGAUCACCAUGACAACUCCUGAGUAAGUAGGGGUCACUGUGGGUAGACAGAUUCCACUCACAGGCUUCGUGAUUGUCUCGAAAGCUGGAGUUAGAUCUCACUUUCAACUGGAUGGAUCAAAAGGACAAUGAGAAUUCUAGCAACAGGUAGAGGGAAGGAAGAGGAAGAGCACUGUGAUGGUUGUUGCCCUUGAGGGCACUGCGCUAAGUGAAAUAAGUCAGACAGAAGAAGAUCACUACCAUAUGAUCUUGCUUGUAUGUGGAAUCUGAAAAAGCCAAACUCACGGGAAACAGAGGACAGGUUGGUGGUUGCCAGCCUUGGGGGUGAGGGGUGGGAGAAAUGAAUGAAGGUGGUCAGAAGUUACAGACUUCCAGUUACAAGAUAAAUAAAUCCUGGAGAUGUUGUAUACA
rnacentral:lncRNA from 1 species